AGAGUUUGAUCCUGGCUCAGGAUGAACGCUAGCUACAGGCUUAACACAUGCAAGUCGAGGGGCAGCAUGGUCUUAGCUUGCUAAGGCUGAUGGCGACCGGCGCACGGGUGAGUAACACGUAUCCAACCUGCCGUCUACUCUUGGCCAGCCUUCUGAAAGGAAGAUUAAUCCAGGAUGGCAUCAUGAGUUCACAUGUCCGCAUGAUUAAAGGUAUUUUCCGGUAGACGAUGGGGAUGCGUUCCAUUAGAUAGUAGGCGGGGUAACGGCCCACCUAGUCAACGAUGGAUAGGGGUUCUGAGAGGAAGGUCCCCCACAUUGGAACUGAGACACGGUCCAAACUCCUACGGGAGGCAGCAGUGAGGAAUAUUGGUCAAUGGGCGAUGGCCUGAACCAGCCAAGUAGCGUGAAGGAUGACUGCCCUAUGGGUUGUAAACUUCUUUUAUAAAGGAAUAAAGUCGGGUAUGCAUACCCGUUUGCAUGUACUUUAUGAAUAAGGAUCGGCUAACUCCGUGCCAGCAGCCGCGGUAAUACGGAGGAUCCGAGCGUUAUCCGGAUUUAUUGGGUUUAAAGGGAGCGUAGAUGGAUGUUUAAGUCAGUUGUGAAAGUUUGCGGCUCAACCGUAAAAUUGCAGUUGAUACUGGAUGUCUUGAGUGCAGUUGAGGCAGGCGGAAUUCGUGGUGUAGCGGUGAAAUGCUUAGAUAUCACGAAGAACUCCGAUUGCGAAGGCAGCCUGCUAAGCUGCAACUGACAUUGAGGCUCGAAAGUGUGGGUAUCAAACAGGAUUAGAUACCCUGGUAGUCCACACGGUAAACGAUGAAUACUCGCUGUUUGCAAUAUACGGCAAGCGGGCCAAGCGAAAG
rnacentral:rRNA from 1 species